ensembl:lncRNA
UUUUUUUUUUAACACGAUUCUAUUUUAACGCGAGUUUCCCCAAGAUUCAUGUUUCACAUUGGGCUUUCAUUUUCCGAUUUGAUGAUUCAUUUAAUUUCACACUCCCACCCCCAUUGGUUCAUGUGAUUUCAGGUGCUUUUAUUUUUCCGUGUGAUUUUCUCGUAUCAUUUUCACGAUUAUGUAUUGUUCGCAUGAUGUCGUGCAUUUAUUCGGGUUGUGUUGUGCAGUUUUGGUGCAUAACGUCGCGAACCACACCGUGCGAUUGUGUGUCACUCACGUAAUCGCGUGUAAAAAUAAAACAACGAUCACACGUGAUUCGGUAAGGGACGUGAACACACGUUUUGGCGGUAUUUUACAUUUGAUGCCGGUUUUGUUCUGUUCAGUUUGGUGAUGCUACUCCACUCCUCUGCGCACCUCUUCAGUUCAGUCAGCAUGUUUAUCACCACGUCGUGCUGGACCACAGAUGGUCAGAUGCUCAAAUGGUCUCGUCCGGCUCGUCAAUAAGCCCAUAAACUGGAAUGGGUGUCGCUUAUCGUGGUGCGGUCAUCAGGAUGCGAGUGUGUGCCAGUAACGGGUUCUGUGUGAUAUAUCCAAUUGAUAUUCGAAUUCUUGAAUCUCAACAGCAGCACUGCGAGUACUGCGCUCAUUCCACGCUCUUGUAGCUGAUCAUCCCUAGAGGGUUUGACCGCCCUGGUUUAUGCCCCGCCCACCUCUCCUGCCCCUCCCCCACAACCCAACCGCCCUCCUAGAUUCUCCUACUGGUUUAUCUGGACCACGCCCUCUUUCUCCACCCCAAACUUCACCCAAACCAAGGAGCUCGGGGGCGUUCCGGACAAAGACCGAUUAAACAGAAAAGACUACGUGUUUUUAUUCAGUUAAUUUUUUCUUAAAUGGAUGAUUGAAGAAAACGAGAGGACGCAAACUAUUCGUGAGCGUCCGUAUUUAGCGGAGAAGAAACGGUACUGCGGACUGAAAGAGGACGCUUUUGGUCAGAGGAAGGAUCGCAGAAGGGUGGGCGUUUGUUGAUAAAGAAAUACUUCCUGUUUACAUUAAGCAUCGUCUUUCUAAGAGUACACGGCUCUACAUUUCACAGGAAACUGUAAGGGUUACACACACACACACACACACACACACACACAGUAUCACAUAAACCACUCCCACACGUCCCGGCCUCAGGAUGAUGUGCGAGGUGAUGCCCACUAUUUCGGAGGAUGGCCGUGGUGGAGGAGGAGGGGGCCGUCCUCGCCUGCUGGGGGUGGGAGUGGC